ensembl:misc_RNA
UAGUGUUCAUCAUGGCGAGCAGAUGGCACCAGGAGAAAUGGAGCCCCUGCCAGUAUGAGUCGUAGCAGUACAGGAGGGGAGACCCCUGAAGGAGACAGCCCGAUUAAAUUGAAGUCUGCAGAUUGAAUUCCAGAGGCUUGGGAGUUCUCCA